rnacentral:rRNA from 1 species
GACGAACGCUGGCGGCGUGCUUAACACAUGCAAGUCGAACGCUGAAGCUCAGCUUUUGUUGGGUGGAUGAGUGGCGAACGGGUGAGUAACACGUGAGUAACCUGCCUCCUUCUUUGGGAUAACGCCCGGAAACGGGUGCUAAUACUGGAUAUUCACUGGUCUUCGCAUGGGGGUUGGUGGAAAGGGUUUUUCUGGUGGGGGAUGGGCUCGCGGCCUAUCAGCUUGUUGGUGGGGUGAUGGCCUACCAAGGCUUUGACGGGUAGCCGGCCUGAGAGGGUGACCGGUCACAUUGGGACUGAGAUACGGCCCAGACUCCUACGGGAGGCAGCAGUGGGGAAUAUUGCACAAUGUGCGCAAGCCUGAUGCAGCGACGCCGCGUGAGGGAUGGAGGCCUUCGGGUUGUGAACCUCUUUCGCUCAUGGUCAAGCCGCAACAAUGGUUGUGGUGAGGGUAGUGGGUAAAGAAGCGCCGGCUAACUACGUG